UCUUAUCGAGAGCGGUGGAAGGAAUGGCCUGAUGAAAUCGCGGCAACCUACUAUAGAGUAAGGUGCCAACUCCUACAAGGUAAUACCUUGAAAGAUGAGA
rnacentral:ncRNA from 1 species